rnacentral:rRNA from 1 species
GUCCACGGCCACGUCACCCCGAACGCGCCCGGUCCCGUCUGGUCCCGGAAGCUCAGCACGGUCGGGCCUGGUCAAUACCUGGACGGGAGACCACCUGGGAUGACCAGGCGCUGUAGGCG